rnacentral:siRNA from 1 species
GUCGUCAGUCCAAGAAGCCAUGUU